rnacentral:rRNA from 1 species
AGAGUUUGAUCCUGGCUCAGAUUGAACGCUGGCGGCAUGCCUUACACAUGCAAGUCGAACGGUAACGCGGGGGCAACCCUGGCGACGAGUGGCGAACGGGUGAGUAAUACAUCGGAACAUAUCCAGUAGCGGGGGAUAACCUAUCGAAAGAUGGACUAAUACCGCAUACGAUCUACGGAUGAAAGCAGGGGACCGCAAGGCCUUGCACUAUUGGAGUGGCCGAUGUCGGAUUAGCUAGUUGGUGAGGUAAAGGCUUACCAAGGCGACGAUCCGUAGCUGGUCUGAGAGGACGAUCAGCCACACUGGAACUGAGACACGGUCCAGACUCCUACGGGAGGCAGCAGUGGGGAAUUUUGGACAAUGGGCGCAAGCCUGAUCCAGCCAUGCCGCGUGAGUGAAGAAGGCCUUCGGGUUGUAAAGCUCUUUCGGCGAAGACGAAACGGUUAGCGCUAAUAACGCUGACUAAUGACGGUACUCACAGAAGAAGCACCGGCUAACUACGUGCCAGCAGCCGCGGUAAUACGUAGGGUGCAGGCGUUAAUCGGAAUUACUGGGCGUAAAGCGUGCGCAGGCGGUUUGCUAAGACAGGUGUGAAAUCCCCGGGCUUAACUUGGGAAAUGCGCUUGUAACUGGCAAGCUAGAGUGUGGCAGAGGGGGGUGGAAUUCCACGUGUAGCAGUGAAAUGCGUAGAUAUGUGGAGGAACACCGAUGGCGAAGGCAGCCCCCUGGGUUAACACUGACGCUCAUGCACGAAAGCGUGGGGAGCAAACAGGAUUAGAUACCCUGGUAGUCCACGCCCUAAACUAUGUCAACUAGUUGUCGGGGAAGAAAUUCCUUGGUAACGAAGCUAACGCGUGAAGUUGACCGCCUGGGGAGUACGGCCGCAAGGUUAAAACUCAAAGGAAUUGACGGGGACCCGCACAAGCGGUGGAUUAUGUGGAUUAAUUCGAUGCAACGCGAAAAACCUUACCUACCCUUGACAUGCUAGGAAGCCCGCAGAGAUGUGGGUGUGCCCGAAAGGGAACCUAGACACAGGUGCUGCAUGGCUGUCGUCAGCUCGUGUCGUGAGAUGUUGGGUUAAGUCCCGCAACGAGCGCAACCCUUGCCAUUAGUUGCUACAUUCAGUUGGGCACUCUAAUGGGACCGCCGGUGACAAACCGGAGGAAGGUGGGGAUGACGUCAAGUCCUCAUGGCCCUUAUGGUAGGGCUUCACACGUAAUACAAUGGUCGGUACAGAGGGCUGCCAACCCGCAAGGGGGAGCUAAUCCCAGAAAGCCGAUCGUAGUCCGGAUUGUAGUCUGCAACUCGACUGCAUGAAGCCGGAAUCGCUAGUAAUCGCGGAUCAGCAUGUCGCGGUGAAUACGUUCCCGGGUCUUGUACACACCGCCCGUCACACCAUGGGAGUGGGUUCCACCAGAAGUAGUUAGCCUAACCGCAAGGAGGGCGAUUACCACGGUGAGAUUCAUGACUGGGGUGAAGUCGUAACAAGGUA